rnacentral:tRNA from 1 species
GGGCGAUUAGCUCAGUUGGUAGAGCGCUUCAUUUACACUGAAGAUGCCAGGGGUUCGAGUCCUCUAUCGCCCACAA